CCUACGGGUGGCAGCAGUGAGGAAUAUUGGUCAAUGGGCGCGAGCCUGAACCAGCCAAGUAGCGUGAAGGAUGACUGCCCUACGGGUUGUAAACUUCUUUUAUAAAGGAAUAAAGUGAGGCACGCGUGCCUUUUGGUAGGUACUUUAUGAAUAAGGAUCGGCUAACUCCGUGCCAGAAGCCGUGGUAAUACGGAGGAUCCGAGCGGUAUCCGGAUUUCUUGGGUUUAAAGGGAGGGUAGAUGGGAUGUUAAGUCAGUUGUGAAAGUUUGCGGCUCAACCGGAAAAUUGCAAUUGAUACUGGCGGUCUUGAGUGCAGUUGAGGUAGGCGGAAUUCGUGGUGUAGCGGUGAAAUGCUUAGAUAUCACGCAGAACUCCGAUUGCGAAGGCAGCAUACCGGCGCCCGACUGACGCUGAGGCACGAAAGCGUGGGGAUCGAACAGGAUUAGAUACCCGGGUAGUC
rnacentral:rRNA from 1 species